UACGGAAGGCAGCAGUGGGGAAUAUUGCACAAUGGGCGCAAGCCUGAUGCAGCCAUGCCGCGUGUAUGAAGAAGGCCUUCGGGUUGUAAAGUACUUUUCAGCGGGGAGGAAGGCGGUGGAGUUAAUAGCUUCACCGAUUGACGUUACCCGCAGAAGAAGCACCGGCUAACUCCGUGCCAGCAGCCGCGGUAAUACGGAGGGUGCAAGCGUUAAUCGGAAUUACUGGGCGUAAAGCGCACGCAGGCGGUCUGUCAAGUCGGAUGUGAAAUCCCCGGGCUUAACCUGGGAACUGCAUUCGAAACUGGCAGGCUAGAGUCUUGUAGAGGGGGUAGAAGUUCCAGGUGUAGCGGUGAAAUGCGUAGAGAUCUGGAGGAAUACCGGUGGCGAAGGCGGCCCCUGGACAAGACUGACGCUCAGGGUGCGAAAGCGUGGGGAGCAAACAGGAUUAGGAUACC
rnacentral:rRNA from 1 species